rnacentral:rRNA from 1 species
AGUGAACGCUGGCGGUAGGCCUAACACAUGCAAGUCGAACGGCAGCACAGUAAGAGCUUGCUCUUACGGGUGGCGAGUGGCGGACGGGUGUGGAAUACAUCGGAAUCUACUUUUUCGUGGGGGAUAACGUGGGGAAACUUACGCUAAUACCGCAUACGACCUACGGGUGAAAGCAGGGGAUCUUCGGACCUUGCGCGAUUGAAUGAGCCGAUGUCGGAUUAGCUAGUUGGCGGGGUAAAGGCCCACCAAGGCGACGAUCCGCAGCUGGUCUGAGAGGAUGAUCAGCCACACUGGAACUGAGACACGGUCCAGACUCCUACGGGAGGCAGCAGUGGGGAAUAUUGGACAAUGGGCGCAAGCCUGAUCCAGCCAUACCGCGUGGGUGAAGAAGGCCUUCGGGUUGUAAAGCCCUUUUGUUGGGAAAGAAAAGCAGCAGGUUAAUACCCCGCUGUUCUGACGGUACCCAAAGAAUAAGCACCGGCUAACUUCGUG